CGGCGCGGCAGGGAGCGAGCCUGGGGCGGUGGUGUGUCUGCUUGUGUGUGUCCGUGUGUGUGGAGCGGCGUGGGCCGAGGUGUGAGUGUCCGUGUGUCCGUGGAGCGCGUGGGCCGAGGUGUGAGCGUCCGUGUGAGUGCGCCCGCCCCUGCGCCCUCCCGCCGCCUGCACUUUGAUCUUAUUUGAUCGGGCCGAGACCCCCGCCGCGCCGGGCCGGCCUGAGAUGAAAAGCUUCCCUCCCGCGAAGCCCUGCGUCUGUGCCGGGCGCUGUGCAGCGAGGCCCCCGGGCGGCGGCCGCGCCGCGGUCCCCGAGGCCCCCGGGCCUGUCCGACGGGGCCCGGCGCUCAGAAGUGAUGAAUUGAUCAGAUAGACGAGGCUCCGGGCUUGGCCCGGGCCGAUGAUUACCGAGGCGAUUCUGAUCUGA